rnacentral:rRNA from 1 species
UAUUAAUACGUAUUAUCUUCCAGAUAUUGGGUGCCAGAGGGUCCGAUUAUACCCGGAUUAAUCGCUGGCGGAUAUCGUCACACGUGCGUUGAACGGCAGCACGGACUUCGGUCUGGUGGCGAGUGGCGAACGGGUGAGUAAUGUAUCGGAACGUGCCUAGUAAAGGGGAUAACUACGCGAAAGGCAGCCAAUACCGCAGCGCGCAGCCCUUCGGGGGAAAGCGGGGGAUCUCCGGGCCUCGCACUAUUAGAGCGGCCGAUAUCGGAUUAGCUAGUUGGUGGGGUAACGGCUCACCAAGGCGACGAUCCGUAGCUGGUUUGAGAGGACGACCAGCCACACUGGGACUCGAGACACGGCCCAGACUCCUACGGAGGCAGUGGGGAAUUUUGGACAAUGGGGAAACCCCAGAUCCAGCCAUCCCGCGUGCGAUGAAGGCCUUCGGGUUGUAAAGCACUUUUGGCAGGAAAGAAAACGGCACGUGAUAAUACCCCGUGCAACUGACGGUACCUGCAGAAUAAGCACCGGCUAACUACGUGCCAGCAGCCGCGGUAAUACGUAGGGUGCAAGCGUUAAUCGGAAUUACCGGGCGUAAAGGCGCAGGCGGUUCGGAAAGAAAGACGAAAUCCCAGAGCUUAACUUUGAACUGCAUUUUUAACUACCGAGUUUAGAGGUGUCAGAGGGAGGUGGAAUUCCGCGUGUAGCAGUGAAAUGCGUAGAUAUGCGGAGGAACACCGGAUGGCGAAGGCAGCCUCCUGGGAUACGACCGAUGCCUGCGCACGAAAGCCGGGGAGCAAACAGGACAGAUACCCCUGGUAGUCCACGCCCUAAACGAUGUCAACUAGUAUUGUUGGGGCCUUCGGGCCUUGGUAGCGCAGCUAACGCGUGAAGUUGACCGCCUGGGGAGUACGGUCGCAAGAUUAAAACCCAAAGGAAUUGACGGGACCCCGCACAAGCGGUGGAUGAUGUGGAUUAAUUCGAUGCAACGCGAAAACCUUACCUACCCUUGACAUGUCUGGAAUCCCGAAGAGAUUUGGGGAGUGCUCGCAAGAGAACCGGAACACAGGUGCUGCAUGGUUGUCGUCAGCUCGUGUCGUGAGAUGUUGGGUUAAGUCCUUCGCAACGAGCGGCAACCUCUUUGUCAUUAGUUGCCACGGAAGGGCACCUAAUGAGACUGCCGGUGACAAACCGGAGGAAGGUGGGGAUGACGUCAAGUCCCCAUGGCCCUUAUGGGUAGGGCUUCACACGUCAUACAAUGGUCGGGACAGAGGGUCGCCAACCCGCGAGGGGGAGCCAAUCCCAGAAACCCGAUCGUAGUCCGGAUCGCAGUCUGCAACUCGACUGCGUGAAGUCGGAAUCGCUAGUAAUCGCGGAUCAGCAGCACUGCGUGAAUACGUUCCCGGGUUCGCACACACUGCCCGUCACACCAUGGGAGUGGGUUUUACCAGAAGUAGUUAGCUCAACUGCAAGGAGGCGACGUCACGGUAGGAUUCAUGAUGGGGUGAAGUCGUAACAAGGCA